rnacentral:lncRNA from 1 species
AAACAAACCAACAAAAGACAGUAAAGACCUUUGUACCGUCCAUUAUUUUUCUGCCCUAGUAUUUGUGGCCGGAUCAAAAACAAACCAGACAAGGACUCUGAGGGAGGGAGAUUUCUCUGACACCUGUAGGUAGGAUCAGGCUUCCAGGGCUGCAGAGGGAAGAGUUUCAAUAAGAGGAGGAAAAAGCAGUGAUAAUGACCUUCAUGAGUCCUCUACUGCAGACUCUCUGGGCUGCAGUCCCCUGGCACAUUUCCUUGCAGAGAAAGGAUAGCAGGAGUGGGCUUCCUGAUUUCCUGAUUUGCUGAUUUCUCUGAGGCCAGCAGGUGCCUGGAGUGGCCUUUGCACCCCCUGCUGGUCGUUCUGGCUGCACACAGUCUCAUGCCUUGUGAGUGUGAAACCAGGUGCUGUCUCGUUCCCCAGGUUGAAUGCAAGAGAAUGCUUGGGUAGAACUUUGUUACCCAAUGAAGCCUCCUGGCUCUCUAGUCCCUGGUAGCCUGUCCUGGUUGCCGGGUGCUUGUUUGCAUUCCAAGCUCCACAUUCCCCAGGGUCCAGUGUGGUCUUGUGUCUAAGCUGGUGUCUGGCCACCAGAGGCAGGCAUGCAGGGCCUUGGCUACUGUACUAGGUCUGCUGAUGGCCACAAGCCUUUACUCCCAGCUGUGCGUUAGCAGUGGGGGUGUCUGAAGGCUCAGGGGAUACACAAGUCCUCCUGGUUCCUGGGGAGGUGAUGAGUGAGAGUUUUGACCAGGAGCAGACACUGAGGAGAGCAAAGAUCACCUGGUACUCAUCAAGCAGGACUUCUAGAGGCAAAGCUCCUUACCUGUGGAAUUCAGAAGUAAUUAGACUUCCCUAUUAUCCAAAGCAGGCAUCUGGUACCAGCCUUCUUUCCCCAAAAUGUAUAAGUAACUAGAAUUUCUACACGCUCCACAAUGCAUAUGCGUCAGACCUCAUUUUGCAACCCUUGAUGACAUCAAGGCACCAGAAUGUCUACAAAUGUAAUCAGCUAUCAUGACCUACAUGGCUAAUAUGGUCCAAACUUACCCUUAAGCUCCUGCUUUAAGGUCCAUACACACCCCUAAGGAACAUCCACUGUGGUGGGCUCAGUUUUCUCUUGCUGAG